CAGCAGCCGCGGUAAUACGUAGGGUGCAAGCGUUAAUCGGAAUUACUGGGCGUAAAGCACACGCAGGCGGUUUGUUAAGUCAGAUGUGAAAUCCCCGAGCUUAACUUGGGAACUGCAUUUGAAACUGGCAAGCUAGAGUCUUGUAGAGGGGGGUAGAAUUCCAGGUGUAGCGGUGAAAUGCGUAGAGAUCUGGAGGAAUACCGGUGGCGAGGGCGGCCCCCUGGACAAAGACUGACGCUCAGGUGUGAAAGCGUGGGGAGCAAACAGGAUUAGAUACCCCGGUAGUCCCUGUCUCUUAUAC
rnacentral:rRNA from 1 species